rnacentral:rRNA from 1 species
ACGAACGCUGGCGGCGUGCUUAACCCAUGCAAGUCGAACGGAAAGGCCCUGCUUUUGUGGGGUGCUCGAGUGGCGAACGGGUGAGUAACACGUGAGUAACCUGCCCUUGACUUUGGGAUAACUUCAGGAAACUGGGGCUAAUACCGGAUAGGAGCUCCUGCUGCAUGGUGGGGGUUGGAAAGUUUCGGCGGUUGGGGAUGGACUCGCGGCUUAUCAGCUUGUUGGUGGGGUAGUGGCUUACCAAGGCUUUGACGGGUAGCCGGCCUGAGAGGGUGACCGGCCACAUUGGGACUGAGAUACGGCCCAGACUCCUACGGGAGGCAGCAGUGGGGAAUAUUGCACAAUGGGCGGAAGCCUGAUGCAGCAACGCCGCGUGCGGGAUGACGGCCUUCGGGUUGUAAACCGCUUUCGCCUGUGACGAAGCGUGAGUGACGGUAAUGGGUAAAGAAGCACCAGCUAACUACGUG